UAACUUAAUAUUUAUUUUUUACAAUAUAUCAUCAUGCAUCUCUAAAAUCUAAACAUGUGAAUUCCGGUAUCUUAAGAUAUUUUUGUAUGUUUUCCAUAUUACUGUUUUUCUUUUCUGCAUUUCCCCUAUUCUCUAGUUUGUUUAUUUCUAAUAAGGAGCUGGAGGCCGUGAAGAAACAGAUCCAUGAUAUCGUGGAGAAGCAGGCCCAGAUGAGCAAGUGGAGAGCUAUGCUGGAAAUAUUCAUGGGUUGAUGCUCAUAAGUCCAGGUGUAAGACAUGAACCAGGCCCUGGGCGACGACCUCUCUCCAUCCGCCGCCUCCGGUCUUCAGGAUCUCCACCAGAACCCGAUUCGCUCCACUUCGUGAGACAGAACACAACGUUGUGAUCAUCAGAGACUCCAUCGUCUGGCACGUUCGUGCUAUGUUAGCUGAAGGUAAAGUCCACACUCACUGUUUCCCUGGUGCUUAUGUUCUUCAUAUUUCUACACAGAUUUCCAUCUGAAGGGUGAGGGGAGCAUCGGAGUGGACAUGCUUCACGCCGGCGUUAACGACACAAUGCUGCGGCAGACAGAGACGCUGAAGAGGGACUUCAGGAGCCUGAUCGAGAUGGUGCGCAGCACAUCACCUGCAUGAUGAUCAUCGUGUCAGGACCACUUCCCACGUAUAGAUGAGGACAUGAAAGGCUUUUUAGAUCUCCUGUUGGACAACAUCUCCAGGACACUUCGCUCCAUGUGACUAGGCAGUUUGUGAAGACAGAUAAUCAAGAGAAGUCAGUUCCAGAUCCACCUUCCACACCAGACCUCUCUCUCACGAGGAUUGCUGUCUACUAGCAUAUUGUGUUCUCUUCAGACUUCGGGGAAUGCAGAUAUUACUCGGGGACACGAACACAUGAAUAUUGCAAGAAUAGAGAAAGUAAGAUAUAUUAUAUAUAUAUUUAGAUAUAUUUUUGUGGCAGUGUGAACUGGCCAUAAUGCUGUAUGAUAGGUGUGAGAUUCAUUAAACUUGAUUUGGUAUAAUACAUCUGUUCAUAAGCUAUUGCAUAUUAUUUUCAAUGAAUUAUUUGUAGUGGUUUGGUUAAGGGUGUGAUUAGCUGAUGUAUUAUUGUGGGAGCUUGUGAUUAGUUGAUAAAUGUGUUUAUUGUUAAUGAUAAUAUUUAAAUGCAAUGUACUGAGUGCCUACUAAGACUUGCAUGUUUGUGCAUAAUGUUUUGACCCCGGAUGCUUACAGAAGGGUAUAGAUAUUUAAAUAUAUGGAAAUGUAUUUAUUAUUAAUAUAUCUCAAUCUAUGUGCUUCUGUUUGGGCUGAAUGCUUUCAUUCAUAUUUCGCUGUAUAUCCUGUUUUUAUUAAUAAUCUGGGUGUAUUACUGUUCAUAUUUGCUUGUUAAUAAAUUAACUGAAUUCA